rnacentral:pre_miRNA from 1 species
UUUAGGUGGAGUCAUAAUUUUCGUGUUUAACUUUAAUCAUCUAUCUUAUUAAAAAAAAUUAAUCAACAUUUUUAUUGUUAUUAUAUGAUAAAGUAUGAAUAUUAUUUUAUGCGUAACUUAUAUUUUUUAUUUUUUAAAUAAAAUAUCAAAUAAGAGAGACGAUUAUGGUUGCGUUUAAAAUAGAAUGCAUGGAGUACUA